CUGUGGUUAUGAGCCCAGCAUCUGUGUUCACGAAGGCUGCUGCGCAGCCGCUCUUGCCUCUGGGUUUGGUAUCGGGGUGAUGCUGGCUGGAUUGCAUAAGUGGGGGAAUGGUCCUUCUCCUUGAGUUUGUGAAGGAAUUCAUGGGGCAUGGGCAUCAUUUCAUUCCUAUCUUGGCAGGAGUCACAGCAGAGCCCUCCGGGCUGAGUUUCUUUGUGGAAACCCUUCCCCAUCCCGGACGCUUCCCAGCUGGGCCUCGGGCCACCACGGCUGUGGCUCUGGCCUCCCCAGUGUCCUCCUGAAACUCCUUCUGAGUGGUGUCUGGACGUCGACGGUGCCUCAUCUGUCCGGACAUCACGGCCCUGCGUGUCCUGUCCCAAAUCUCCCCAGCCCGCAGCCCUGCUCCCCGGCACUGGAAGGCAGUUCAGGGCUGUCUUGCUGUUUCCUGGAGGUGGCUGUGAAAGGUCUGAAGGACAUAAACACGAUGACGUGCUGGGCUCAGCAGAAGGCUGCCGCCCUCCUGUGUCCAGGACCACAGGACUCCGAAGGCCCCGUGUGUCCUCCUGGGGCCUUAGGGAACUUGGCAGGGCUGCCCACUGGCUCUGUCGGCACGAGGCCUUCAGAAUUACAAACUUUGGAAGAAUUUCUCAAGCUAUCAGAACAACCGAGGUCCCUGUGCACGGCUCUGUGGACGUGAGUUGGUCCUGCAACAGGCAACAGUGCAUUUGCUGGUGAGGGGAGCCCAGCAAGGGCAGGAGUGGCGUCAGUCUGUCCAGUUACAAAACAUAGCAAUGGGACAAGAUCCAGUAGGCCCCGUGUUUGCCAGUAGACACUCACUCUCUUCCACAACCCGAGCAGGCACCACGCAGGGGAGAGCCGAGGGGUGUGGAAUGGACCCCACCUGCACUCACCCCCAUGCCCAUGGCCAGUUCCUCUUUUUGCUUCAGGAAAACGUCGUUUUCCCCUGGAAACCAGCGUUUGAUUCACCGACUCGCACAGUAGGCAGCCUGGAGACGGCCGUCUUCUUAGCUGGGACACCAGGCACUCCAGGGCUUUUGUUUUCCCUCCUAUGGUGUCAUCAUAGACACGACCUCACACUAUCUGCUUAUCACAGUGUAAAGCUCUUCGGAAGAACAACCUUCACAUCAGCAUUU
rnacentral:lncRNA from 10 species